rnacentral:rRNA from 1 species
AACGCGAAGAACCUUACCAGGUCUUGACAUCCCGAUGCUAUUUCCUUAGAGAUAGAAAGUUACUUCGGUACAUCGGUGACAGGUGGUGCAUGGUUGUCGUCAGCUCGUGUCGUGAGAUGUUGGGUUAAGUCCCGCAACGAGCGCAACCCCUAUUGUUAGUUGCCAUCAUUCAGUUGGGCACUCUAGCGAGACUGCCGGUAAUAAACCGGAGGAAGGUGGGGAUGACGUCAAAUCAUCAUGCCCCUUAUGACCUGGGCUACACACGUGCUACAAUGGUUGGUACAACGAGUUGCGAGUCGGUGACGGCGAGCUAAUCUCUUAAAGCCAAUCCCAGUUCGGAUUGUAGGCUGCAACUCGCCUACAUGAAGUCGGAAUCGCUAGUAAUCGCGGAUCAGCACGCCGCGGUGAAUACGUUCCCGGGCCUU